rnacentral:lncRNA from 1 species
GUCACAAGUACCAAAAGAGGUUCCUGUUGGCUAAUCCUAUUGACAAUAAACAGACUUAAUGGUUGUUUAAGCACAUCAGACUCCUUACCCUUUGAAUAAACAGAAACCAGAUGUAACUUUAGGUCAAAACCCAUUAAAAUGAAGCUCCACUUCUGUAAGCCCCACCAAUACCCUGCUGACAAUGGAUCGGUAAAGGUCAUGGGUUUCUCCCAGUGACGCACCUUCCUGCAUGGUUUCAAGACAUGCUAUGCCUCAGUUCACCGGAUUCCUGCCAGGAUCUGGUUCCAUCCACCAAGGCCUCUGCUCUGCAAUCUCCUCUCAUCUCAGCAUCUGUGUGAAAAGAAGAAUUAGGGAGCCUUACUACUUACUACUCAAGUUCCUAAGUAUAAUUUGUCAGAAAUAUGGGGUGUACAACUUCCUUGUAGCUCACGUGGACUUUAUAAAUGCUUUCCUGCUACUGAAGAGGAUUGAUAAAAAGCUGCUCUACUUUCAAAGUUUGGUCUCCUUUUGUAAUUCAGAUUCUUCUAGGGCUCUGCUUUGGACUCUGCAGUUUGAAUGAUUUGAAGAUGUUAUCUCCAGUUCUAUCCUAAAUAAACUGAUUACUAAAGGCCCCA